AUUGAACGCUGGCGGCAGGCCUAACACAUGCAAGUCGAGCGAGCGGCGGACGGGUGAGUAAUGUCUGGGAAACUGCCUGAUGGAGGGGGGUAACUACUGGAAAAGGUAGCUAAUACCCCAUACCAUCAGAUGUGCCCAGCUGGGAUUAGCUAGUAGGUGGGGUAACAGCUCACCUAGGCGCCGAUCCCUAGCGGGUCUGAGAGGAUGACCAGCCACACUGGCACUGAGACACGGUCCAUGCUCCUACGGGAGGCAGCAGUGGGGAAUAUGGCACAAUGGGCGCAAGCCUGAUGCAGCCAUGCCGCGUGUGUGAAGAAGGCCUUCGGGUUGUAAAGCACUUUCAGCGGGGAGGCGUUACCCGCAGAAGAAGCACCGGCUAACUCCGUGCCAGCCGCCGCGGUAAUAC
rnacentral:rRNA from 1 species